UUGGGGCCCCCGUGUCAAUAACCCAUGGAUGCAAUGAUACAUUAUUUGCAAGACAAAUAGAAUUAUAGCUGCCAGAGGGGUCAUUUGAGCAGUCAGGUUGCAGAAGGUCCAUCAGGUGCUGAUAGAGCUCAUUUGAGAGGUCAGGAAUAACACUCGUUGUAGAAGGUAAAGGUGACUAGGAUACGGCAUUUGUAGUGGUGUUUGUUACUAGGUAUCCUUCUUUUGCUUUGGUUUAGAGGUGUUCCAAUAGGCUGGGUACCCAAUAAUUUCAAAGUAGCCCUCUCUUUGGUGACCCUCUUUAAAACACCUUGUGCACUUUUUGCCAUUUUGUGAUCGAUUGUGGAAAUUUGGUGGAUGAGAUCGAGCUACAGCCAUGGCAGAAUUAUCUGGUGUAGGAAGCAACGAGAAAUGGAGAUUUCGUUGGGUCUCUUCUUGAUGGAUAAUGGCGUAGGCUUUGGUGACUGUGGGCAGAGGAUCCAUGGCUAGAAUCUGACUUCUAGUGUUGUUGAAAGAUUCAUUCAGACCCAUAAAAAUUUGGAAGAGUUGUUCGAUUUCUUCUUUCCUUCGUCAUCUUUGCGGGUAGCACGCGUACAGGAACUGGGUUGAAUGAAGGCAUAUAAUUCAUCCCAGAGACCUUUGAUGGUGCUGUAAUAGGAUGUCACUAUCAUUGAUUCUUGUCGAAGAUUAACAAGAUCGUGCUUUAGACGAUAUAGGCGUGGGUUGUUGCUUUGAGAGAAUCGUUGUUCUAGGUCCAUCCAUACAGUAGAAGGAUUUUGGCAAUAGAUCAAGCUUUGUCGGAGAGACUUGUCAAUGGAAUUGAGCUGCCAAGAGAGAACCAUGUCGCAGCACCUCUCCCACAGUGUAGCCCACAGUGUAGCAAUUGAUGCAUCUGCAGGUUUUUUUUAAGGGAUCCAUUGACAAAAACCAAUUUAUUUUUGGCAUUGAGAGCCAUUAGCAUAGAGCAAUGCCAUGUGGGGGUAAUUUCACUAAUGAGUAAUUUUGGAACCAAAACAGCACAAGGAUUAUUUGCAGUAGUCAGAAAAUAAGGUGAAGUUAGAUCAUUGACAAGUUGGGCUAGUGUGAGGGUGACGAUGGAGUCAGCCAUGGUGAAGAUGCGAAAGUGUUCGGAGAUCCCAAAGAUCAAGAUGCUCUGAUACCAGGAAAGAUAAAUCUUCUACUGGAAUAAUGUAAUCUGUAGGGGUUUGACUGGUGCAAUUUUUUUGCUGGAAUAAUUUGUUGAACUGGUGCAAUUCUUUGCUGGAAUAAUGUAAUCUGUUAAGGCUUGACUGGUGCAAUUUUCUACUGGAAUAAUGUGCUGGAAAUGGCAGUGAACUGUGAAGCUUAACUGGUGCAAUCUCUCUGCUAGAAUAAUGUAAUCUGUUUGCUGGCUAAUGUUACAUCCCAAAUUCUGAAAGUCCCAUCCACCCUACAUGUUAAAAUGCCAUUUGCCAUCCUCACUGAAGCACAUAUCUGUUAUACGAUCUGUAUGGCCUUCAAAUUUCUGAACCAUCCUCAAUGCCACAACAUCAAACAAAUGGAUAACCAAGUCAUCUGCCACAGUAGCCAAAAGGCCAUUAGAACAAUGAUACAUUAUCUUAACCAGUGAACAACCUAUUUUUCACCUUGAUUUCGUUUUGAGCGUCUUGAAAUUGUAAACUUUGACAUCUCCACGAUAUCCAGCGCUUAUCAUAAUAGUAUUCGUAGAAUCACAUUAUACAACAAUACCAAGCACUUCUCCAUCAUAAGCACAGGUUUUUCCCUCAGACUUAUCAAUAUAACUGCCUCAACUGAUUCCUGACUAAAGAAUAAAACGGUCAAUCCAACACAUUGCUGUCCCAAAAACUGCAAAAGUGCCACAAGAACUAAUGGCACAGGAUUAAAGGGAGUUGGAUACUCUACACGUGGGGUUAGGAUAUGCUCACCAAUAAUGAAAUUUUGAAGCCUCUACACGUAAGCUUGAGAAGUAUCGAUAUGGCAUGUAACUAUAUUGCACCAAUCACGUUCUCGAAAUUCAAACGCAAUUAUAGGCUUCAGCUUUAUUUAUGUUUCCUUCAGACAAAGCUUUUUUGAUCUUUUAGAUCCAUAACAUUCAGAAAACUCUCCGCUUUGCUGAUCCUGGCAAUAGAGGAAAGAGGAAAAGCACAGUCCUGGCCAGCAG
rnacentral:lncRNA from 1 species